CCCUUAGAUGUUCUGGGCCGCACGCGUGCUACACUGAGUGGAUCAGCGGGUCAGGUUGCGCGAAAGCGUUUCCUAAUCUUUAAAUCCGCUCGUGAUGGGGAUUGACGGUUGCAAUUUUCUGUCAUGAACGAGGAAUACCUUGUAAGCGCGGGUCAUCAUCCCGCGCUGAAUACGUCCCUGCCCUUUGUACACACCGCCCGUCGCUCCUACCGAUUGAAUGUUCCGAUGAAUACCAUGGACUGAGAGUACGAAUGGGUUCGCCUAUUUCUACUUCUCGGGAAGUGGAGUAAAUCUUAACAUUUAGAGGAAGGAGAAGUCGUAACA
rnacentral:rRNA from 1 species